GACGAACCGUGCGAACGUUAUUCGGAAUCACUGGGCUUAAAGGGCGCGUAGGCGGGCUCACAAGUCAGGGGUGAAAGCCCACGGCCCAACCGUGGAAGUGCCUUUGAUACUGUGGGCCUCGAGGGGGGUAGGGGCGUGCGGAACUCAGGGUGGAGCGGUGAAAUGCGUAGAUAUCCUGAGGAACACCGGUGGCGAAAGCGGCGCGCUGGACCCCUUCUGACGCUGAGGCGAGAAAGCCAGGGGAGCAAACGGG
rnacentral:rRNA from 1 species